rnacentral:lncRNA from 1 species
UCCCACUUUCUGCAUCAACUCAUAGCUACGAGGAGAUGCCGAGUGUUGCCCCCUCUAACCAUCACAAAAGCUCUGUUGUGCAAUCUAGUACCCUGGAACCUGGCGGAACGGUUGCAUAUCAGUCUCUUCAAGUGCCAACUUAUCAAGGAGGUGCUGGAAGCGAUCCGACCUCCUCUUCCACAUUGGAGAGAAAGAUGCGAUCGCCCAUUUCUGCUAGUGUACCUGGCGGUCCCUCUGGUUCUUUCUAUCCACCUAGUUCUGAGUUUGCAGCUGUUUCAAUGGGUUCGUCCUUAAGAAAUCGUCACAUAGAGACGGUUUUUAU